AAAUAAUCCAAGAUCCUGUUAGAAAUCUGUCUCUUCCUCUUACUGCAGUAUCUCUCUGAGGAUUAUCUGAGUUUUAUGUUACAAUUCACUUCUUAAUGUCAGAAUAAUUUCUAUCUAACAAUUUUAUAUAAAAAUCAAUGGAAGCUGGGCAUGGUGGCUCACGCCUGUCAUCUCAGCACUUUGGGAGGCCAAGGCAGGUGGAUCACGAGGUCAAGAGACCAAGACCAUCCUGGCCAACAUGCUGAAACCCCAUCUCUACUAAAAAUGCAAAACUUAGCUGUGUGUGUUGGCAGGGGCCUAUAGUACCAGCUACUCAGGAAGCUGAGGCAGGAGAAUUGCUUGAACCCAGGAGGCAGAGGUUGCAGUGAGCCAAGAUCGCACCACUGCACCCCAGCCUGGCCACAGAGUGAGACUCCAUCUCAAAAAAAAAAAAAUCAAUGGGAAAUACUUUUGUAUGGUAUGUUUAUAAUUGUAUAUCCCACCUUAUUAAACAUAAUUCUGACAUUUUGAUAAAGCACCAGUGAGAACCCAAUCCACUGCUUGCAAUGUUACAUGUCUAGUGAUCAGGAGAAUUUUCCAUGGGCUGGCUUCUGACUCUAUACAAUUCACAUACUGCUUCCAGGUCCAGGGACUAGAGAACGUGCUCUUGUCACCAUCAGCCUCAGGUUCUGCAUCUACAUGAUGAUACCUGAGUCAACUCGAUGGCUGCAGGAAUAUUCCUGGAAGCCAUUCCUAUAACCAGAAGUUAGCAACAACUAUACAUACAGACUCUAAACAGAGGUGGUGGUAAAAUCACCUGAGAAAAUCCAGGAGCAGAGGAGCAGAGAAGCAGAGACUGAAGAGGAGAGCCCGUGCCGUGAGGAGCGAGGCUGGCAGGAAAUGCCACCUGAGCCAGCAGCCAGACCCUGCCUGGCAGGUACCACAAGGCCUGUUCCCUGGCACAGAAGCCGGAAAGCCAGUGGAAGUAGACAGGACUUCCACCGCCCUGGAGCUUGGCGGUCACAGGCAGGAAGGCACCAAAUCAGGUCUCCUCAAUCAGGCUACUCACGGGAAGCAGGAUUCUUCCAAUCCCCAUGACUCAGGCAAUGAGAGAUUCAUUAAACCUACUAAGAGAUAACUGGUUCGUUGAGCAUAAAUUGCCCUCCCCUACACACACACUUCCCUCGCCACACUGGAGCUGGAAUAUGAAUUCAUGGAGAGGGAAGGGCUGAAAACGGUGGUGUGGGAUGGAUCCCAGUCAUUCGCAGGCAAUGCCGACACAUGGUAGAUAUACACACCGCGAGCCUGUCUUUGCCAAGGUCAUUCUUUCUAAGCCUCUGCCUCUAAGCAGCUUCAACACAUCCAAAGCAUUUCUCCCUAAAUGUUUUGGAUACUUCUCAGCAGACAGUCCCUUAUGGUGGCUAGCCCCUAGUCUUUCUCCUUCCACAGCAGCACUGCUUCCUUAAGUGUCCUCUGACACCCAUGCCCCAUCCAUGGAGCUUGGCCUCCUUGGUCUCCCGUCUUCCCUUCUGGAGGAGGCCUAAAAGGACCACUUAACUCCAUUGCU